UACGUAGGGUGCGAGCGUUGUUCGGAAUUACUGGGCGUAAAGCGUGCGCAGGCGGCUUUGCAAGACAGAUGUGAAAUCCCCGGGCUUAACCUGGGAACUGCAUUUGUGACUGCAUGGCUGGAGUGCGGCAGAGGGGGAUGGAAUUCCGCGUGUAGCAGUGAAAUGCGUAGAUAUGCGGAGGAACACCGAUGGCGAAGGCAAUCCCCUGGGCCUGCACUGACGCUCAUGCACGAAAGCGUGGGGAGCAAACAGG
rnacentral:rRNA from 1 species